AGUGAACGCUGGCGAUAGGCCUAACACAUGCAAGUCGAACGGCAGCACAGUAAGAGCUUGCUCUUACGGGUGGCGAGUGGCGGACGGGUGAGGAAUACAUCGGAAUCUACUUUUUCGUGGGGGAUAACGUAGGGAAACUUACGCUAAUACCGCAUACGACCUACGGGUGAAAGCAGGGGAUCUUCGGACCUUGCACGAUUGAAUGAGCCGAUGUCGGAUUAGCUAGUUGGCGGGGUAAAGGCCCACCAAGGCGACGAUCCGUAGCUGGUCUGAGAGGAUGAUCAGCCACACUGGAACUGAGACACGGUCCAGACUCCUACGGGAGGCAGCAGUGGGGAAUAUUGGACAAUGGGCGCAAGCCUGAUCCAGCCAUACCGCGUGGGUGAAGAAGGCCUUCGGGUUGUAAAGCCCUUUUGUUGGGAAAGAAAAGCAGCAGGUUAAUACCCCGCUGUUCUGACGGUACCCAAAGAAUAAGCACCGGCUAACUUCGUG
rnacentral:rRNA from 1 species